UUAACUGUCUGGGUGUGAGGUAGAGGUGGCUGGGCUAGCAGGUAGUGACAGUCUGGGUGUGGGGUAGAGGUGGCUGGGCUAGUAGGUAUUUAACUGUCUGGGUGUGGGGUAGAGGUGGCUGGGCUAGCAGGUAGUGACAGUCUGGGUGUGGGGUAGAGGUGGCUGGGCUAGCAGGUAUUUAACUGUCUGGGUGUGAGGUAGAGGUGGCUGGGCUAGCAGGUAUUUAACUGUCUGGGUGUGAGGUAGAGGUGGCUGGGCUAGCAGGUAUUUAACUGUCUGGGUGUGAGGUAGAGGUGGCUGGGCUAGCAGGUAGUGACAGUCUGGGUGUGGGGUAGAGGUAUUUAACUGUCUGGGUGUGGGGUAGAGGUAUUUAACUGUCUGGGUGUGAGGUAGAGGUGGCUGGGCUAGCAGGUAGUGACAGUCUGGGUGUGGGGUAGAGGUGGCUGGGCUAGUAGGUAUUUAACUGUCUGGGUGUGGGGUAGAGGUGGCUGGGCUAGCAGGUAGUGACAGUCUGGGUGUGGGGUAGAGGUGGCUGGGCUAGUAGGUAUUUAACUGUCUGGGUGUGGGGUAGAGGUGGCUGGG